CCCCGAGAGCCGAUCGGGGCCACACGAAGCAGGAGACUGGACAAAUGCUCGGGAAUAAGUGAGCAACCUACCUCCUGUUCAGCAAACCCCUCCACCCGCUUGCCCGGGGCCCUCGUCCAGCCCCCUGGCCGGGCCCCACCGGCGGGCCCCACCAGGCACGUACCACUGCAGAUCACCUGGCACAUCUUGGCUUCAUUGGUCCUUGGAUGAACAAAGACACAGGGAGACAGGCAGCAAGAAAGAGAGACCAGAAGAAGGCAACAGGCGGGCAGAGAAAGGAAGGAAACCGAGGGACGCUGGGGGCAGAGAAGAGGCGUUGUUGGGGGAAAGGGAACAGGUUCCACAGCACCGCCACCCUGUCCCCGUCUCCCUGCCAACUCUCUUCCUGACGUCGGGUUUCUCCGAGCUGGGUUCUGCCCGCCUCCUCUCCUCUGUCUGCAUCUGUGGGCGUGGACGGCUUUGAGCACCACCCACACGCCAAAGACCCUGGGAGGAAGGCCCCCCACACCUGCCCUCGGACUCGACCCCGCAUCCACCCAUCAGCUGGCCACCUGACCCCGCCCCUCGAAAGUCCCACAGGAAUGUGAACUCAGUGCACCUGCCCGGCAGCCAGCUGCUCACGCCUGAAGCUCGGAGUCUUCCUUGGCUCCUCUUUUUUUUCCUUCACCUCCAGCACAGAACUCAUCAGCAAGUCCCAUCAGUCGGAGCCUCGUUCAUCUCUCCCGUCUGCGCACCCCUCACCAGCUUGGCCCCAGCCUCAGCCACCAUCGCCUCUCACGUACACACCUCUCAUCCCUUCUCCACCCACACAACAGCUAGAAUGUUCCUCCUGGAACCUGCGGGUCACAAGGCAACCCUGCAGCUUUCCAGGGCUCUCAAGUAAGGUCCAGACUCUACCACACCCACCAGGCCCUGCCAGUCUCUCCAACCCUACUUUCCACCAUCUGCCCUCCCCCUAACGACAGCCACAGUGACCUCUCAGUCCUUCAGAGAAGCCGAGCCUUUCCCUGCCUCAGGGCCUUGGCACAUGACGUUCUCCGUGCAGAACGCCCUCCCACAUCUGGUUCUUCACCAUCGUCUCGUCCUUUCGGGUCACAGCUGAAAUGUCGCUACCCCAGUGAGGGCCCCACAGAGGUGAGGUCCCCUCCCUCCUGAUCUCAAACAGCCACCAGGCUGUUCUCGUCACACCACAUGUCAUCUCAUAUGAUGAUGGCCGAUUUUCUUGUUUACUUGUUUACCGUCCUUUAUGGAGGCGGGACCGAGCACAUUGUACUCACUGCCACUGUGCAGCGGGAGCUCAGCACCUGCUUGUGGAAUGGGGGAGGGGGGGAGGGGAUAAGAAGGAAAAGAGAUGAGAACACGAGAGAACGGGGCCCGAGAGGGAGAGCGGUCUGGAGAAAGAACGGCAGAGGAAUGAAGAGACAGAAAUGAGAGGCAGGAACACGGAAUCUUGACAGCUGAGGGAGACGCGGAGACGGAAAGAAGGAAUGCCAGAGGAAGGUAAGAGUCAGCAAGACAAGAGUCACAUGGUCAGCGCCCCAGAUUCUCCACACACUUGUCACUGGCCCACUUGAAAGCCCAAGAACGCAGUCCGCCCUGGUGGGGGAGCACUCGAUGCCAAGAAAUGUGCCUCUCACUCCCUUUUGAUUCCUAGAUAGCCUUAUCGCCAUCUUAAAUGACCCCGUUUAAGGUAGAAUUGGACAAAGAGACCGUAUUCCCAGACCAUGGCGAUUAAAAUAACCCUUACUGAA